rnacentral:rRNA from 1 species
UGCAGUCGACGGUGAAGCCAAGCUUGCUUGGUGGAUCAGUGGCGAACGGGUGAGUAACACGUGAGCAACCUGCCCUGAACUCUGGGAUAAGCGCUGGAAACGGUGUCUAAUACUGGAUAUGAGCUGCGGAGGCAUCUUCGUGGUUGGAAAGAUUUUUCGGUUUGGGAUGGGCUCGCGGCCUAUCAGCUUGUUGGUGAGGUAAUGGCUCACCAAGGCGUCGACGGGUAGCCGGCCUGAGAGGGUGACCGGCCACACUGGGACUGAGACACGGCCCAGACUCCUACGGGAGGCAGCAGUGGGGAAUAUUGCACAAUGGGCGGAAGCCUGAUGCAGCAACGCCGCGUGAGGGAUGACGGCCUUCGGGUUGUAAACCUCUUUUAGCAGGGAAGAAGCGUGAGUGACGGUACCUGCAGAAAAAGCGCCGGCUAACUACGUGCCAGCAGCCGCGGUAAUACGUAGGGCGCAAGCGUUAUCCGGAAUUAUUGGGCGUAAAGAGCUCGUAGGCGGUUUGUCGCGUCUGCUGUGAAAUCUGGGGGCUCAACCCCCAGCCUGCAGUGGGUACGGGCAGACUAGAGUGCGGUAGGGGAGAUUGGAAUUCCUGGUGUAGCGGUGGAAUGCGCAGAUAUCAGGAGGAACACCGAUGGCGAAGGCAGAUCUCUGGGCCGUAACUGACGCUGAGGAGCGAAAGGGUGGGGAGCAAACAGGCUUAGAUACCCUGGUAGUCCACCCCGUAAACGUUGGGAACUAGUUGUGGGGUCCAUUCCACGGAUUCCGUGACGCAGCUAACGCAUUAAGUUCCCCGCCUGGGGAGUACGGCCGCAAGGCUAAAACUCAAAGGAAUUGACGGGGACCCGCACAAGCGGCGGAGCAUGCGGAUUAAUUCGAUGCAACGCGAAGAACCUUACCAAGGCUUGACAUACACGAGAACGCUGCAGAAAAUGUAGAACUCUUUUGGACACUCGUGAAACAGGUGGGUGCAUGGGUUGUCCGUCAGCUCCGUGUCGUGAGGAUGUUGGGGUUAAGUCCCCGCACCGAGCGCAACCCUUCGU